AUGAACGCUGGCGGCGUGCCUAAUACAUGCAAGUCGAGCGAACAGAUAAGGAGCUUGCUCCUUUGACGUUAGCGGCGGACGGGUGAGUAACACGUGGGUAACCUACCUAUAAGACUGGGAUAACUUCGGGAAACCGGAGCUAAUACCGGAUAAUAUUUCGAACCGCCUGGUUCGAUAGUGAAAGAUGGUUUUGCUAUCACUUAUAGAUGGACCCGCGCCGUAUUAGCUAGUUGGUAAGGUAACGGCUUACCAAGGCGACGAUACGUAGCCGACCUGAGAGGGUGAUCGGCCACACUGGAACUGAGACACGGUCCAGACUCCUACGGGAGGCAGCAGUAGGGAAUCUUCCGCAAUGGGCGAAAGCCUGACGGAGCAACGCCGCGUGAGUGAUGAAGGUCUUCGGAUCGUAAAACUCUGUUAUUAGGGAAGAACAUACGUGUAAGUAACUGUGCACGUCUUGACGGUACCUAAUCAGAAAGCCACGGCUAACUACGUG
rnacentral:rRNA from 1 species